UGUAUCCAUAUGUGUGUAUAUAUGUCAAGUAAAGAAAGAAAGGCAAGUUGCAGUUUUAUGUGAUUGAUUAAAAAACCCCAGCUUAUGCAUCUAUUUAAAGAGCACAGCAGCAAAUCAUGUCUCCUACCUUAAGCUCUUGGAAAAGAUUUGGAAUUUAAAGGAAACUGAAAAAUCAGUGUUGUUUCUGCCUUUCUCUUCAUUUUUCACAUUUCCAUGUUUUAAUGGACUGCAAAGCAUCUUUCAUGUUAACUGAGAAACUCUUCCCUUUCUCAAGUUGAAAGGACUUCUGGCAGCCCUUGAAGGCUGAGAACAUCCAUGCUUUAAUCCUAAAAUAGGCAGGACUGAAACUCAUGUGGUCUCAAGCACUGAAGGAAAAUUCCCCCAAAUAGCUUUUGGGGGCCAUUCUUCAUCAAGCAUCUCCUUUCAGGGGGUAAUGGAUGAGGUAAUGUCUGUAAAGCACUUUGAGAAGGCCUCACACCAGAACUCAAAUAUUUUUAGUAGCAGUUAUUACUUUGGACAGGGAAUACCUCAGUUCGGGGUGUGGGGCCAAGUGAGUAUGACAGGGAAUCAGUGCCAGCACAAGCAGCAGUGCCAGUGGCAAAUGUACCUGGAUUCAGUAGAAAUAGAGACCUCGGAUUAUAUGGAAAACUCAGGAAGACACUCAAAGAGGGGAAGAGGCAUGAGAACAAAGAAAGGAAUAACACUACACGACACAAAGAUGUUUUUAAAGCAACUAGACUUAAUGCUCGGUGUGGGCAGGAAUUGGUCGUAUUUCUUGUGGGUCCUAUUGGGGUGCAAUGUACCCAAUAAGAUGUGAAAAAUGUUGAGGGAAUGAAUAGAAAAAGGAAGAAGGAAUAUGGGGGAGGAAGAGUGGGGCUCUCAUUUGUUAAACUCCCCUUCUGUUUUCUCAUGAUGGCUCUCCCUACAAUAGGCUUCUACUCUUCUUUUUUUCCAUUUCCUGGAUCCCUCCAUUUACUGAUCCAAACAGUAUUAAGAUAACAUUCUUAUCAUGUCACCUCACUCUCUGGGAAUCUACAAAGGCUCACUAAUACUUAUCAAUGGAUAUUAAAAUAGAAGUUGACAAUAUUGAAGGUUUUUCAUCUUUUUUCAUGCUUCUUGUUCUUCGUCCCGCUCCUAACUUUGAACAAAUAUCCAACCUUAAUCAGGUACUUUGCUGAUCGUUGGUACCUCCUCAGUAUAGCAGAAUGGAACCUACUCAUGCCUGCUCGAGAUGUGUUAUGCCCUCCUAUAAGCCUUCCACAGGGAGUUCCUUGGCUAGGCUGAAGACCUUCUUCUACAUGUCUUACCAUUUCGUGUCAGGAGUGGGGGGGGGGUUGGUAGAGUCCUAAUCUCAUGUUUAUUCACAUUUGGGGUCCACGAUGGGCUAUCCAUUCGUUUUCUGUUGGACUCUUCCUGUUCCCAGCCUUAUGUCUCUCCUAUGUUGGUUGACCUUUUCUUUUGGGCAAUUCUCCACCCUUAUUUCACAUGCAGUGUGUUGGGAGCAGUAAUGUGCAAACAUUAUGGAAAGAUAGGCUGAAACCAGAUCAUGAAGGUGUUUCAAUGCCAAACAGAGGGGCUCAUAUUGAAUCCUAGAAGCAAUAGAGAGUCCUCCAAGCUUUUCAAGUAUAAGGGAGUUGGUCUUCCACAAACCUGGUCACAGAAAAGGGGCCAGAUAAUGAGGUAUUAAACUAAUGGUAAAAAUUCUGCCGAGCCAGGUGAUCCCUUUAUGAGAUACAAAUGAGUUCCUGGAGUGAAUCAUAAAGGAAACAAUGAUGAAGAAUGACAGGCCAUGCCUCUGGGUGACCUUUAAACAUCCAUUAAAUGAAUCCAGAAGGAAGUCUUGGGAAAGAAGCUAAGCUUCUGAUGGGAUGAAUACAAGACAUAUGAAGCUAGAGAAAGGAAAGCUAUAAAAAGUCAUGUAGAGCUCGGAGAAUUCUGUCAAAAUUAAAGGGGCUGGCACCCUGGGAAUGAGGAUGCUGGGGCUGGUUAAGGCAUGUGAGACACAUGAGGUUUAUUGAGAGACGGAAUCUCUGUUGCUAAUCCCCUCUGACACCCCUUUACUCAAGACCCUGCUGGGCACAGAGGAAGCCUGUUUAUAUUUGCUUUAAAUAUUUACUUUGUUUUUUUUAAUAAAUAGUGUUCUCCAUAGCAUUUGCUAGUCAGACUGUGCUUAUUAGGAAUAUUGUUGGUAAUAAGGAACUUGGUGAGAAGAGAUAUAAUAUUGAGGUGUUUACCAGAAGACCUCCCUGGUUGGGGGCUUAGAGCUAAGAAAAGAAAAUUGAGAAGGAUACAUUUUUUGUGAUGACUUUUUCAGAGAAGAGAAAUACCUAUAUUGGGAAGCUCAUUUGGGCAAUGAGUCAGUUGGGUAAAUAGAUGUGGCUGAAGCACCCUUAUCAGGAUCUCAGCCCACUCCUGAGACAAUAGCAUCAAGGCAGCAUAGAUGUAGGGUUUAAAGGGACCUUAGAGGUAAUUACAUCCAACCCCUCAUUUUACAGAUUAAGGAAAAUGAGGCUGAGAACGGGGAAAGAAUUGGCAACAGUCAUCCUGGCAGGAAGCAGCAGAACUGAAGUUUGAUGCCAGAUUCUGUCAGCAAAUCCAGCUCCCUGAUUAGGACUAUUGUGCGAUCAGACCUCUGGUUUGGAGGAAAAAACAAGAAGUCAAAAAUAAAUGCCUGAGCUCUUUGCCAUUGGAUAACGGAGAGCUUUUACAACCCGCCUUGCCAAAGCAAAGUCUACCAUUGAUGCUACAGCAUAUCAGUCUCAUUUUGAUGAUAGCCAGUCUGUUGCUGGUCAGUUAACUUGUUUUUCCAGGACUUCUCAGCACGGCCAUUUUUGGAGAUUUUUAGAGAUUCAGCAACAGUUCCACUGAAUAAAACCUCAGCGAUAGAAUAAGGGAAAGAAGGGAAAGGAUAUCAGAGCGGUUCUGGAAAAACAAAGUCAGGAAGACAGAGAGAGUGGAGCUGCAAAGAAAGCUGACUUAGGGUGGUAUUUAUAGGCUGAAUCUUGAGGAUUUUUAUGUCAGGAUAUGUUUAUUAGCUCAUAAAGUUCAGUCACAUGAACAGAUUCAAACACUUAGGCAAUGAGGCUCCGUCUAUUUGUUAGCAUGGCAUGGGUGUGAUAACUAUUUCCAUCCCAGGUGCUCCAAAGACCCACCGAAGCUUCACGACCGAAGCAUUAACAUAUUAUUCUAAUAACAUGCUGCUAUUCUCCUCUGACCCAGGAGCUUUGGACUUUAAUCAUUUCCAGCUUAGCCUGUAGCCAAAAUGUGUUUUCCCUUUGAUUUUUCACACUGGUGCCCUUUCUUUAAUAUCUAUGACUGAUAUAAUAAAUAAAUUAUAUCCAGAUGAAAGCCUGUCAUCGGAUCCCUCAUCCCAGGCCUGGGGCUGCGAAUGGGAAGGUUUUCAUGGGUUCCUCCACAGUGUGUGGCCCUUAUUGGGGACAGCACCUGGGAGGAGAGCUGAGCUGGUGUCCUAUAACAAUGAUCAGAACCCAGAGUGAUGCACUGGGUGGAUGAAAGACUGACUGAAGGGGUAGGAGGCAAGACUCAUUUUUUUUUCCUUCAUAGGAUGGGGAGGAGGGAGAGGAAAGGGAAGAAAACAGGUUUCCUCAUGGACUGAAAGGUUUUUGUCAGACAUGGAAAGGAUCAAGUCUAAGUCUUCUGCCUCAUGUACCCAAAACUGAACUCAGAGUGGAUCCAAGGGCCAUCUGGGAGUGAUUGGGAGGCAUAUGAGCCAGUUUCCUGCACACUUCAUGGCUGGACCCCAAAUUUCCAUUUUGUCAGUCAUGGAGCUGGGCCUAGAGUUUGGAGCUGCCAAAGCCACUUGGUUUUGCUGAAGUUAUCUGCCUUACUUGCCAGAUAGGAUGGGCCUACAAACACACCUGUGGCCAACUGCGGGGUCUCCAAGUGGUUUCUGUCAAUGAGCUGUGGGUAGCUUUGGAGCUUCGAGAGGGUAGACGUAGGAAUCUUGCCACAUUCUUGUGGACACCAGAAGGAGGAGAACACUUCAUUCUGCUUGCACCUGAUGCCCAGUGUUGGCAUUUGCAGGCUAGUAAGCUAGACUUUCAAUCUCUCUCUCUCAUUUUCUCUUUUUCCUUCCUUUGUUCCUUUUUCAUCUCUUUUUCCCUUUCUUCCUUUCUAGCCUCUUCUCUCUCACCCUUCUAGCCCCUCUCUCUCUGGCUUGCUUGCUUGUGUUAAGGCCAGGUUUUUUGGUGAUAGGAGAGGAAAAUAAUUUUUCCUUCAUGGCUAAUUAAUAAUGUUAAAGAGAGAAAAGAAGUCAUUUGGCAUUAGCCCCGUGCCCUUUUUGAAAUUACUUUCUGUGAACAAUCCUGUAAGCAUGUUGUAUGUAUAAUAGACACUCCUUAAUUGACUCAGUAGCUCUUUGGAGAAUUAGGCGCCAUAUGUGUUUCUGAAUGUACAGAGGGGUUGGACUGCAGCACUUAGCAUGGAGCUACACCCUUUCUGGUGAUACAUGUGCUUUGGCUCCUUGCUUGCCCAAGUGGUCCCUUGUUCCCCUGGUUGGGGAUUGGUGUCGGAGAUGAUCAGCUAUUGAACCAGGAAGAGCUGCUCCCUAACUAAGCUAGAACAAUUACACUGAGCUUCAGUCCCUUCUCCCUUUUGUAUUUCUUAGUACCCUGGCAGCCUCGGUUUUGGGAUUUUAGCAAGCUGGAGAGAUGGUUUCACUUUUCCCUACUUUAGCAGCAAUUAUAGCUAAAUUUAAGUACAAAGCAUUAAGAACAUGCAUUUUGUUUUCCUUUGAGCGUAGGUCUAUGACCGUCAACCAGUGACCCUGAGACAGAGACAUCCCUGGUGCCUACAUCCUGCUGGCAUCCUGAAUUGUCCCUAGCUUCCUAGAGGAAAUGUUUUCCUGUUAUUAUACCAAUUCUCAGAGGAGAAGAUGAGCAAUGAAAGGAGUAGCCUGCACUUGUAGGGCCUGAAAGGCCAAGUCUGACAGGCCAGAAGAUCUGAACCUUGUUAAGAAGCUCAUCCAAUCCAGUUCCAAGGUGAACGUCAACUAUUGUUUCAGCUCUUCGACAAAGGAGAUGCGCUUUGCUUAGACGUUUUCCUCAGAGAGCUGUGGUAUGGACCAAAUGUGCCACAUUGUUCAAGGAAAGCCAGAUUCCUGAUGGGAGCCCAGCUGCCCCUCAGAUGAACCAAGACUGGAGCGGAAGCAUCUCUUUUGGGAAGGGUCAUCUUGUUACGUGUAUUUAGAUUCACAGAAUGUUCGAAUUGGAAGAGCUUUUUAUAGAUCUCAUCUCAUUUCAUGAAGGCAGCAGAGAGUGGUGCAAAGAGUGGAGAUCUGGACAGGAAAGGUUGCUCAUUGCUGCUGUUAUUUCAAUUGUGUCCAGCUCGGUGUGACCCUACUUGGGGUUUUCUUGGCAAAGAUACUGGAGUGCUUUGCCAUUUCCUUGUCUUGCUCAUUUUACAGAUGAGGAAAAUGAGAGACUUGCCCUGGCCAGAUUUGAACUACGGAAGAUGAGUCUUCUUGACUCCAAGCUCAGUGCUCUAUCCACUAUGUCACCAGGGGACAGGAAUUGAAAUCUCAGCUGUGCCCCUGACUACUGGUAUGAUAUUGCCCAACUCACCCCAUCCAUUUAUGCUCUUGUUUGCACAAUGAGAGGCUCAGACUAUUUCCCCAGGUUCUCUUAUAGCUCCCAAAUAAUCGUGUUCGUUCUGAUUCUGUACCCUAUUCCUGGAGUGCUUCCACUCCUUUUUCCUUAUCCAUUAUUGUCUAUACCAAAGGAUCCAGGAAGCUUUGCAUGAUCUCUCUGGUAGAUAACAAGCUUUCUAUUUUGGUUUAUACCUUUCCAAUGCACGUAAGUAAUAUAUGCGACUGCCUUGCUUUUGGUAAUUAUCUCCAAUUUAUCCUCUAUAGAGCUUGUUGGCACUCAGUUGUUUUCAGAUAAUUUCCAAUUAUAAUAAUAAACCAUUAGCUCCCCAAGACUGGCUUUGCUUUCCUUGUAUUCAAAACAAAUUCAAAACGUGACAUAUAGAAAGAGUUAAAUAAAUAAAUAAAAGUCAGAUAUCAAGUUUAUUGGCUGACUAUUGAAUGAAGGAUUUGCAGCUUAUUUCUUUUCUAGACUUUAAGCCCCUGAGGGCAGGGCUAUAUCUUGUCUAAACGUUGUCUCUUUCCCUAGCCACUGUCCACCACUAGGAGGGUUUGCGUAUUAUAGAUACUUAGUUAGUGUUUGUUGAUGAAUGGAUAAGGUGAGGCCAAUAAUUAAAUAGCCGGUUAAAGGCUAGGCUGGUAAGAAUAGAACCCACAUCCUCCAUUGCUAUUUCCACCAGAUACUAGUGCUUUUUAAUGUAUCAGAACAUAUACACUCACUGGGUUUAUAGUAGAGUGUGCACUUCUCGAGGGCAGUGGCUUUAAAAACAAAACAAAACUCCAAUUGAUGCUUGUUUGUCCAUGUAUUUAUGUGUACACACACACUUAGAUAUAUGUUUGUGUGCUAUCUUCUCCAUUAGACUGUGAAGUGAGAGCCCAGAAGGGAGUGCAUGUUUAUAUUGUGCCUAUUACAUGCCAUUUGUUCCAUUUCCAUGAAGGUAGCUGAAGCAGGCAUCACAGAGUGCUUAGAGAUCCGUCAGACAUCGAAGAUGCCAAAAUCAUCCGACGGGCCAUUGCCAGUUGCCUUGACUUUUGUCUUGCCACUGAACUUCAAUGACUCUGGAAGAGAUAGUGAGGCUGAUACCUGCAGGACUCUGACUCACUUGACUCCCAUUCAUGUGCAAGUCAAGGCAUCACCACCAUGAUGGCCUUGGUUCUCUUUGAAAUGAAGGACAAGCAAUAAACAACUACAGGCCAGAGACUUGGCUAAGCAGUUUACAACUGUUAUCUCAAUCAGUCCCUGCAAGAUCCUUCUUCCAGACCCGUUUCAAAAUGCCUUUCAAAACUUGUGGAUCAUCAUAGUAUUUAGACUUGCACCUCCCCAGCUUUACUGUGAAGACAUCGUCUAUACAGAGACCUCCGCUAUAGAUCCUGCCACCACAAAAUGAUUCAGCUAAUGUGGUCUUGUCUAUAGAAAGGCAACGGAGACUUCUUUUCCACUGCAUGCCAAGUACGGGGGGCUUUUGCACCAGCCUAGAAACUGAAAUGCCCUCCGUUGCUUCUCUCUUUUCAGCCAAACGCGAGCUCCUUACUUUUGGCUGUCUUCUUCUGUGUUAUCCUGGUGCCACUGAUGCUUCUUUAUUCGUCCGUUCAUGCGUUCAUUUGGUCCGAUGCAGUGUGGUUUGCUGCCUUCAGAAUGUUUAGUCCACCGGCCCAUCCAGCCAUCCAGAAUCAGGCAAGCAGCCAAGCACUGCUCUGCUCGCUCCGGCUAGCCCCAGGGCCGCAGAGGCCAACAUGGAGUGGUCCCAGGGGCGCCCCCGCACACGCACCUGUGCAGGUACAUGAGUAUACUUGGAGAUGCGCUCCUCUAAAGGAGAGAAGGACAGAAACGGCGGCCGAGAGAAAGGCAGCGAGCUCAGAGGGAGACGGCCAGGCUGCCAUGGUGAUGGUGGGUCCGCUGCUGCGGCCGUGGAAGGGAGAUGGCGGCUGUUCCGUCCAUGGCCUCCCCAAGCACCCGAGGGAGCGGUCAGCGCUCUCAAGGCCGCAGCGCUGUGUUCUAGCGGCAGCCUCUCUCCUCCGAAGGGUCUCGGCCCCUCCCGCCCCGGCUCCCACAUCCUUGUUGGUUUGCUCUCUCCAGCUGCUAAGCUCCUCAGCCGGGCCGCGCUAGUCGCCGCUGUGCAGCCCAGGCGCAAGGCUGAAACGGACACCAGGAGGCCCUCCAGCCCUCACAGGUCAGGGGUUUGUGUGGCCCGAGCCUGCACGGACUUUGGCCCGGACAGCAUCCUGGUUCCGCCAGCCCCCCUCGUGUUGGCAUGGAAACGCAUCUGGGCAGUGUUGACUCCCAGGAAGUGGGGGGCCCGCUUUUCCUGGACUGUCUUUCGAUGCCCCAGUUCCGCUCUCCAACACCAACCCAGUAUCAGGGGCAGCCUUUGAAGGGGAAACGAGCUCAGCCUGGGGGAGGCCUUGGCAGACCUGGCAAGGCUUCCGGAGACACGACUUCUCCAAGAGGUCACCGGCUGCAUUCGUGCGUCCUUGGGGAAGAGAAAAAAGAGCGCGACUCUGCUCUGCACAAUCGCUGCUGCGGAGAAAACAAGGGUAUAUGUAAAUAAACACGAGGAGGAGGCCGUGCGCUACUGCACAAGGAGCUCUGGAGCCAGGGGUCCUGGGUUCAAAUUCUGACCCUGGCCCUUGCUACGCGGCUGAACUCGGGUGAGUCGCAUGACUUUGGGCCUCAGUCUCUUCUCUAAAACCAGAUGGCUCCUAGAGUUCUUUGUAGCUCCAGCUCCAUAAUCCCAUGCUCCUAAGACAAAGAUGAAGAUGAAGCGAGAGGGGAGGAACAAGCGGUGCAAAGGGACGGGGAGCGCCGGGGCCCAGUGGAGGCAGGAAGGCAGCCUGGGCCUGGUCUCCCAGAGCCUUCCUGAGACUGCAGCACGUCUUGGCGCUUUCAGGCCAAGCUUCCCAGAGGGCACGCAGGACCGGAAGGCGCUCGCUCAGUUUCUCUGUUGCCCGUCCAGGCCCUGGGCCUGUGUGCCCCGAGCCCUGACUGGGGACAUCCGUGGCUGCCCUACUCUCGACUCACGCUGUGGUCGAGCUCUUUCUCAGUCCUUGUUUUGGGGGGCACGUGAGCCAAGCACGGAGCUCCAAGCCACUUCUCCUCGGGAUUCUGGCGGAGAGCCAGAGAACCAAGGAGACACGGCCCUCUCGAAUUAGGCCCCACCAGAGAGGGGUUCCUUAGUGGGGGGCCCAGAGGUACGAGCGGUUCUGGCCAUUCCACAGGCAGGCUAACUGGGGGAGAGCACGCCAGGAGGACAGAGGCCACCUUCUGGAGGGCCACCGAUGACGUGCUUUCCCCUUUUCUGUUCUCUCAGCCAGGAAUGAGGAAGUCUGGGCACUGUGGGUGCCGGCCCCGAAAUCCGGGAAGCAUCGGGCGACGCGAUUCCGCUGUGAAAUUCCGAAGGGUAACCCCAGCGAGGACGACGUGCCGUUAGUUCAGGAGGGGGAACCGUCUUCCAGCUGCCACUCGUUAGAAAGCCCAGGAGCGGCCUGGGAUGGCCUCCCCGGCCCCUCUCCUGGCCCGCAGCCUCCACGCACAGUGACCGUCUGUACACACGUGAGCCUUCUGGACUCCAAGGUGUCGAGGGCCACCGCUUGGAUAAUCCACAAGCUCACAGGGCCCGAGACGGCGCUGGCGCAGCCAGGCGCUUGGCCCUGGUCCAGGCCCCAGGGAAAGACUUGUCUGGGGGUGCACCGGGACGCCGAUGGAAGCCACACGCUGCCGUAGAGGACCGACGGGACGGCCCGAAGCACGGACUUUUCUCCAAACCUUCACGUCCCAGGCGUGAAUCUGAGUCUUGUCUCCGACUUUUCUGAGGCUGAGAUGUUGGCUGCCACGCGUCGCCCCACGUCACGGUGUUUUCAGCCGUGUUAACUCUAAGCUCCGCAAAGGAGCUCAGCCGCAGCCCCACGGAGCCAAACAUGGCCAACACCAGCCCAUUUUGGGGGGCUCUUUAUGGCUGUCUGAAAAAAUGUCUCAAUAAAUACUCACACCGCAAGGCCUCCAUCAUACUAGAAUUUUCGAGCUUUGAUUCUUGUGAAAUAAUAAUUAAGGGACUGGACUUGAAAGACAUGAGUUCAAAUCCUGCCUCAGAUACUUUCUAGUCGUGGCAAGUCCUUUCAUCUAUUAAGGCUCACUCAUCCUUUAUCAAAUGGGGAGGUUGGGCUCGAGUGCCUCUAAGGCACUUUCUAGAUCUAAACGUAUGACCCUACGACGCUUCUUGGAGAGUCCAUCCUUUUAAGUCUUGGGCAUGGAGUCCUUCUCUGUUGGCAAACAAACCGGGCAGAUGUAGGAGAAGGAGCAACCCUCCCCGCUCCACUCCAAGAGGUCUACAAAAGGGAAAUGAGGAGAAGAAGACUGCUAUAUGGCUAAGUGCAGAGUGCUUGACUUAGAGAAAGGAAAACUUGGGUUCAAAUCAAUGAUUCUCUAAGAUCGAGUUAUGAAACAGCUGCCAACGUAUAGCCAGGGAGGGUGUUCCCGUACCAGGAAUUCCCUGCAUGAAGAGGAUCCCAGGCACAGAGCAGCACAGAAGUUUACAUGGAUGCUGGGCCUGUGAUCUCAUUGGAAGGGGGAACUCUCAGGGGAGAAAACUCCUUCACCAGUGCAGGUUGCUCUUCUUUGCCACUUCAAGGCUCAGAGCGUCCACCUGAGGUCACUGGCCAGGGGUAUGAAGCCGGUAUGGUAGAGGCAGGAUUCAAACCUGGGUCUCAUUUGGUUUGGAGACUAGCUCUCUAUCCCUUUGUAUUGCAAUCAGUCAGUUAAGAAUUUAGGGCUUAUUAUGUGCUGGGUGAUAUGUUCAGGCCCGGGUAUGCGACAAAAGGCCCAAACGAUGAAGGGAGAAGACAGCUUUUUGCAGGGCUCAGACAAGUUUCUGUCUUUUUUUUUUUAUUUUAUAGAAUUUUAUUUGAUCAUUUCCAUGCAUUUUUCAUUAAAGACAAAGAUCAUUUUCUUUUCCUCCCUCCCACCCCCCGUGGCCGACGUGUGAUUCCACUGGUAUCAUAUGUGUUCUUGACUUGAACCCAUUGCCAUGUUGUUAGUAUUUGCAUCAGAGUGUUCGCUCCGAGUCUUUCCUCUGUCAUAGUUUCUGUCUUUUCUGAAGACGUUUGAGCCGAGCAAGCACGGUGCUAUCCCUUCCUUCCCUGAGGAAGAGAGCGCCAAUAAUGUGAGAACUUAUUUUGUGUGAUUACAUAAGGUAAUACUGAUUGCUUUCCGUCCUUCCUUAGUGAGGGAGGGAAGCAGAGGAUGGAUGGAGAGAAUUCAGAUCUCAAAGUAAGAUAAAAUCAAUUUAAAAAAGGAAAGAAGAGAGAGCCAAGGAUUUCUGCAGAGGGGAAUCUUGGAGCAGACAAGGAGCAUCGAGGAAUCCGAGUCUGGCACAGAUGGCAGCAUCUGAUGGACGUGAUGCAGAGCAGACACCGGAGGGAAGCAGAUCUAGAGAGAGCCGCAUGACAGAGUCAUUAUAAGACGUGGUAGCCAAGCAGAGCCUUGCUCGCGUGUGCGGUACCCUGGCUAUAUGUGCUUCCUUUGUGUGUACCUCUCCAUGCAUAGGUCCUGGCCACCGGUGUUCCCCAUUUCUGGGCCCUUCCACACGUCUCCAGGCCACUCGUGUUCCUUGUGUGUGUAGCUCUCCCCGAGGGUUUCCAAAGUGUCCCUUCUUCCCAUUAAUACCAUACAGGCUUGAGAGAGAGAAUGUCACAGUUUGGUAGGGAAAUGCCUCAUUACUACCCUUUUUACCGAGCCUUUUCAUUAAAUGGCGUUUAUUCUACCCUCUGGUUGACUAGUGGUGGAGCCUGUAAACUAUGGUUUUGUAGGAUUUGGACCCACAGUACGUCCUGAACUUGGGAGAGCUAUUCCAUGGGGCGGGGGGAAAUGGGAAUUUACUAGGAGAAGGGGGACAUCCGCAGAUGUACAGCCGUGUGUGUCUCUCGUUUCCUUUAAGACUCCGAUGCAACUUCCCGUUCUUGAUCAUUCUUGAUCGUUUACUCCAAAUUAUUCUGGAUUUAUUUUGCACAUGUUUUAAAAUUAUUUAGUUAGGUAUAUGCUAUCUCCUCCGACGGAAUGUCAGUUCCUUUGUGUCUUUCUGUCUCUAGAAUUCAAUAUAGUGCCUGGCGCAAAAUAGACACUUAAGAAAGACGUCUCUUUUCUUCUUCAUGUUAAAUUUGCAGAUUAUUUCCCUACUUCUUCCUUUAGGGCAGAGACUAUAACUUAUCCAAGGCUUGUAUCCUUCCCAGCAUCCAGGAACCAAGGCUGCUUAAUAAAGUUUUAUUGAUCGGAGUCUAAUUUGUUGAACUGGAUUGCAUGGAAUACCACAAGGCAGACUAGGAUCAAUGGUCAAAUGAGAAGUCUAGACAACUAGUGUGUGGAUUUAUGUGAAGGAGAGGCGACGGUGAACAGGAAUCGAGGCAACCUUCCUGGAGGAGGCAGGUCUUGAACUGGAUGGUAAAGAAUGAAGAUGUGCGUGGAAGAGAAAGAGCACUCUGGGAGCAGGUCAUGGUGGCUGAGGCGGACCAGUGAGUAGACCAGUCUGGCUGGAGUGGCGUGGAGAAAAGAACACCCCACUUGUCUGUCUCUUUCUGUUGGUCUGUCUGUCUUAUGUAUAUUCAUUUGAAAUAUUUCCUCUUAUUUGACCUUCGCAGCAGCUUAUAAAGGAGCUAGCUUAUUGUUUCUUCCGUGUCUCCUCCUUACAGGUGAGCAAACCUGCUAACAGGGCUUGGCAAAGGUUACCCAGCUAGGGAGGAACAGGGCUGGCAGAAGUUUGCUGUUCUUGCCAUUACUCCAAGCUAAGGAUGGAAAGGGAGGUUGUGUAUCAGUUCAGUUUCGUUCCAUUCAACAAGAACUAAUUAAGCCCCUACUAUGUGCUAGGCAUUGCUCCAGUGGCUAAGGAGACAAAUACAAAAGUGAAAUAAAGAGUCCCUUCCCUCAAGGAGCUUAUAUUCUAUUGGGAGGAUAUAACUGGUCCAAGCAAUAUUGGGGCAUAGUAACGACUGGGGAGGAUGGAGAGAUCAUUCCUUAAAUCUGGUGAAGCCAAGCCUCUUCUUUUACAGAUGAGGAAGACAAAGCACAGAAAAGUUAAGUGAAUUGCUCAAGGUCACACAGUGGGUAAGUGUAUGGGGCAGGAUUUGAACCCUGUUCUUGACUGCAAGUUCAGGGCUUUAUGGUAAAGUAUGGAUAGAGCCAUUGGCUUACCAAAGACCCUCCUACUUUCUUUUGUUCUGUGUUUCUUUGAGACUCUUCUGAAAACUGCUGCUGUCUUUGGAUUAGUCACUCCAUUGGUGUGGCAAAGUCAUUAGGCAAUUUUGUGGGUGCGCCUUCACAGGGGCUAAUUACUUCCAAGAAUCUGAGGGAAACGAAAUACUUAAGCAUUCUGUUCUCCCCCCUCCCUCUCCUGCUCCCUCUCUCUCUCUCUCUCUCUCACACACACACACACAUGCACAUACACAUGCACACACACAUGCGCACACCCAAAUAUAUAUAUAUAUAUAUACACACACAUAUAUAUAUUCAUCCCGCUUUCCUUUUUUGCCUAUAGCUCUAUACAAUGUAUUCCAUUUGCUCCUUGUCCUCUUGGCUGAUUUCCCCAUCUUAGGUGGUCGUCCCCCAUGAUCUCUGGGAUCCUUCCACAGGGCCUUUAUUCGAAUGCAGGAAAAAUGAAGAAGAAAGCGUCUGAAGUGGACGCUGACUAUGGACUUCAGAAGCCGAUGGAACUGAGCUGGCCAAGCUGCAGGGCCGUUGGAGAAAUACUGGAAAAUACCAGCUCGAAAAAUCUCCAGUUUCUCAACUCUCCCCUAAUUUGACCAACACAAGUCAUCAAAGUUCGGAAGCCAAGGAUGGAAAGAAAACACAAACCACAAUAUUUUCUCCUGUCUGCACCUGCCAAGAAGCAUGCAGAGUUUGCUCAGAGCAACUCGUCUUGCCUAUUUGUAUAAUUCUGAAGGACCUCAGACAAGGAAUAGGGGUCAGCUCACAGUACUUUCUGACUUAUCAAGGAUCCACAGCCUAGGGGUGAUUGGUUGUCAAACUACAAACACUGAUCAAUCAAUGAAUAUUUAUUAAGUCUCUGCAAUGUUCCAGGCACUGUGCUAAGGGCUGGGGAUACAAAAAGAGACAAAAGAUAGUUUCUGCCCUCGAGAGGCUUAUACUCUAAAAGGAGAAAUAACAGGUAAGCGAAUGAAACAAGAACCUUUCAGCUUGACAAAGAAUUGCCUUUAGCAGUUAGGCACCCUUGGAUAUUGAAUAUUAUAGGAUCUAUAAAUUUUGAGCUGGAAGGGACCUCAGAAGCCAUUCAAUCAAAUUACUUCAUUUUAUAGAUGUGGAAACUGAGGACCAGGGAGACCUCCACUGGAAUGCACCACUAAGAGGUAUAGAAAGAAGGAAUGGGGAUAAAGGAAGUGGAUUGCCUAGGGUCACAAAACUAGUAAGCAUCUGAGGUGAGACUUCUAGGCACUCCAAGUUCCAAGGACUCUAGGUCUUCUUUUCUUGAAGUUCUAUGACCAAUCUAUUCAUUAUGCUGUACUGCCUCAAACAGGGUAGUCUCAUGGGUCGAUUUUCAAUUUUUUUCCUUUUGUCUUUUAAAAUUUUAUUAAAGAAGAUUUGAGAAUUUCUAAUUAGUAAAGUCUACAUGGGCUUAAAAAACAAGCUAAAAUCCCUCCUCCCACUAUUUUAAAAAUAUAUCAGACUAUUUGUCAUCCUGGCAUCCCCCAAAAGCCACUAGCAGGAAAUGACCUUUUCAUUCUUAUCUGUAAUUCUUCUACCCUACUUAUGCCUUCCCUAUCCCAAAUAGGAAGAAUGUACAUUUCUGUAACUUUUUAUGUUCAUAAAGUAUUGCUCCUUAUGACCAUUUGCCAAAUCAAAACAGUUAAGAGGUCUGACUGUGUCACCCAACUGUGCAAGAAACUCUAGAGACUUCUUUCCUCAAGGAUGAAAUACAAACUCCUGAAUAGCUUUUGAAGCCCUUCACAGUCUGGGUCUAAUCUGUUUUUUUUUUCCAGGCUUAUUUCAUAAGAUUCUCCUUUAUAUCCCCUACAUUCUGACCCAAAUGGAUGAUUUCCUGCUAACUGCUGAGCCAGAACUGAAUGAGUAUUGGAUCACAAUAGAUGAACUUUCUCUGUCUCUCUCUCUCUCUGUCUGCCUGUCUCUCUCCUCUCUGUCUCUGUCUAUCUCUGUCUCUCUGUCUUCCUCUUUUCCUUGUUGUUGAGCAAGUAAGUGACAGCUAUGGGCCUCCAGUUGGGAAGAGAAGUAGUGACUGCCUUAUCUCCCCACCGGACACCAUGUGGCUGUUAAUCCAUAGUACGUUUGUGCCUUCUGUCUCUAAUGAAUUUCAUUCUUUCUUAAUCGUAGGUAAAUGAAUAUUAAAGCCCAAAGGAUCCAGGAUAUGAUUGCCUGACUUAAAAGAUCAGAAGAGUCACUAAGGGUCCUUUUAGCAACCAGAGUUAGUAGCCAGGCCUAACGAGGAAAGAGCCUGAGGGGGUAAACUCACCGACCCCCAUCCAAUUGUGUGCCAGGAGUUGACACCAUAUCUUGCAAGACCUGUUGACCUUCAACUGGAAUGAAGCUCUCUCCAGAAGUCAGGAAGGGAAAGCCAGCUAUCCAAUCAUCCAAGUUCCCUCCAAGAGGCAGGUCAAGAGGAUGACUUGAGCCAAAGGUGACUCCUGAGACCAACUUUCUUCCUUGAGCUGACCUCCUUCUUAAAGCCAAACUUCCUUCUUGAAGUCAACUUCCCUAAGCCCAGAAAUUCAGGGCCUUUUAUAGUGGCUCCACGUCCCUUCCCCUCUUCACAAGAGCAAAUCACAGCUUCCAAAUUGCCCAGCACUGUCCAGGGGGCAGUGUUUGUGGGAACCACUUCUAACCUUCUGGAGAGGUGAAUACUCAUCAAAAGGGUUCACAGAUUCCUGGCUGAUUGAGGUGUAAAUUCUCAUUUCCCAAGUGACUGAGUUGAAAGGGUGGAGAGCUCCUCCACCUAGUGCUAAGUAGGGUGUUCAAGCUUUUGUUGUUUCAAUUCAAAAAUAGACAAAGCAGAGUUAAUCCUGUCUUCACAAUCUGGUGAGGUACUAAGUAGGGGUAUGUAAGUUAUUGUUAACCAGGUGUUAACUCAAAAUAGGCAAAGAGAAUAAAGGAUUUCUUUACAUAAGUGUAAACUUAGAAUGGACAAAGAGAACAAAGAUUUCUCUUUUAUACCCCUGUUAUAUUAUGUAUCGAGCAGCCAUCAUGAGGCCACAUGAGACUAGUAUAGCAAUGCCUCAGACAUUCAACAACCAAGGUAAACUUGACAAAUUAACCUGGGCACUCUCAACCUUAGUUUCUUCAUCUGAAAAAGGGGUAUAAUAAUAGCCCCCAAUUUAUAGGGUUUUCACAGGGAACAAAAUAAAUAAUACAGUGCUAUAUAAAUAUUAGUUAUUCUUGUUAAGCACUUUGCAAAUUUUAACAUGCUAUAUAAAUGCUAGUUAUUUUUUCAUUACUAUUGCUCUAGGACAGACAGAUAAUAAGUCAAGAUUCUGAGCGGAAUCCUCUGAUUUCAGAUCAAGAACUCCUUCCAUUGCCCAUCAUUAUAUAAUUUUGAACUUUGUCCUUACCCGAAGCCUCAGUCUGCCUUUCCAUGAUUCAGAACCAUUAUUUCUUAAAAGUUACCUUCCACAAUCAGCUCUGAAUUUGCAGAAUUCAAUUCUACAGCAAGAAAUAGUCCUCUCCUAGGUGGCACAGUAGCCUAAUGUCUCACACUAAGAUCCGGUAGCUUUUCAAACAAAUAAUUUUGUACAGCAUUACUGGGCACGAGCUGGGCAAAGAUCCAGCGAAGGAGACUGAAGAGUGGUCAUGUAGUUAGGAGAAGAAACAAGAUAGUGCCAUGGAAACCUAGAGAGAAGAGAGUGGUCAUCAGCGUCGGAGUACAUAGAGAGGCCAAGGAGAGUGAGGGUGGGGAAAAGCCCAUCAGAUUAGACAAUUACAUUGGAGAGAGCAGUUUGGGUUGAAUUGAAUUGAAUUGAAGGUAGGAAGCCAGAUUGUACAGAGUUAAAAGCAGAGAGGAAAGGAAGAGGAGCAACCUAUCAUACAUGGCUUUCUCAAAGGAGUUUACCCACAAAAAGGAGGAAAGAUAUGGGAUAAUAGCUAGUAGGGGAUGAAUGGAUCAAGUGAGGGUUUUCUUGAGAAUGGGGAGACAGGGGUAGCUUGGUGGCACAAUGGAUAGAAUGCCAAGCCUGGAGUUGAGAGGACCUGGGUUCAAAUAUAGCCUCAGACAUUUCCUAGUUUUGUGACCCUGGGCAAGUCACUUAACUGUGUUUGCGCUUCUCAGUGCCACUAAAAGGCACAUAGCAUGUGACCGCUAGUGUUUCUUAAUUUCCUGCUCCAUCUAUUUUUGGUCUUAAUGGUGAGAUGUUGGAAUGACCUUUACUGAGAAAGAGGGGCAGGAGAACAUCCAAAUAGAUCUAACGAGACCCUCAGCCCUGGAACCCGGGAGGCCCAAGUCGUGGUGAUUCCUUUAAAAGAACCCUUUAACAAAAUCAAAAGUUUCCUACUGCUCUUCUGUAGUCACUUAAUCCUACACUUGUGCAACGAGAGAAGUACUCAGAGUCAGGCGUGCUAGGCCUCGAAUUUGCCAAGUAUGCACUUUAUAGUUUCCGUGGUUUCAAGUUAUGACUACAAAAAUAAAUGGUCGCUGGUCUUUAAAUGAGAAAAAAGGAUUCCAUUUUCGGUUCUCUUCUGCUGUUCUCUCUCUCAACAUUUCUGUGCUCUUCUACUGGAAAAUGUACGCGGCUGAAGCUCCUGAGGUUUUUUUAGCAUCCUUUGAUUCAAGAAUCAUUUGUCUGCUGGAAAAAAUAAGCUGUUGCUGUGCUCUACGGUAUUCUCUCCCAAUGUAGAGCUAGUCCUUGCAGAGCUUUGAAAAUGUGAGCCUACAUGCGUGCAAAGGAGGGCUUUUGUUUGUAGCCUGAGCUCACUAAGCAGCCCAUCCCCUUAGCCACCAAGGGCCCUUUCAGUGGCAGCCCAAGUCUUCCCUACUCCAUUAGCUCACUGACUUGCACCGGGAAGACCUCUUUGAGCUUGUUAGAUGAUCAGGCGGCCCAGGCGUCCUCUUUAUACCCUUCUUCCAACGUGUCCCUCGUAGACCUCUCUGGCUUCUUAGAGGCGCUGCUCUUGGGUGGGAACUCUUUCUUAGGUAACCGUGACACGCACCGCUGGGCCCAAGAGGCUCUGGGGCACGUGUCCCUCUUCCCUUUUCUUUAGGAGUCCCUUUGCUCCGGAUCUGACUGAAGGUGGCACUUAGGAGUCAGACUCUGCCCCCUCUUUGGUUCCUCAUCCCAACACCCUCUGCCACUCCUCGGGAAGCCUCGUUGUGAUUUAGACUUUGAGUCGAGAUCUCUGAGAGAAGGAGUGAAAAAGCUAUUCUAUAUGGAGCACAAAUCAGGCGAGGGGGGCAGGGAUUUACUGCCUCUGCCGAAAAGAAAUGCGAAACACAAAAUAUUCCCAACCAGAAAGACUUCAAAUCAGAUUUAAUAACCAGGUGAUCACCACUAUUGGACUUUCUCCAGUACUUCAUUAGGAUUUAAAGCAUUUUGCAGGACUGUUGGAAAGACAAUGCCCAUUUAUUUCCCUUCCCUACUCCCUGCAGAUGCCUUCCCACCAAAUGGGCUAGGGAUAAAUGAGGUUGAUCUCAAAGGGAGUGAACUUCUCCAAGGAGUAUUUGCUCGCCUAGCCAGCAGUCAGAUCUGGUCUAAGGAUCCUGGAUUCUCGAACCUCUCCAACACAUAAGCUGGUGUCCUAGCCUAGAUCUGUGACCCAAAGCAAAGAACAAACUCGGGAAAGCUAGCCCUAAACUCACUCUGAUAUGAUCAACUGGCUCUCACCUCCCCUGAUUCCGCUUCCCAUCAGACCUCUUGUUAUUCCAGAUAGCAUGACUACAGCCAUCAAGUUGUUGUCGUGCAAACGAGUUUAUGGAAUUAGGGUUUCUUUUUCACCUUAUCCUUUGAAAAGGAGAGACCAAGUCAAUGAACAUUUUAGGAAAUGCUUCCUAGAUGCAUGGCACCAUGGCAGGGCUGGCAAACAAAAUCAAAAUGGUCAUCCUGUCCUCCAAGAGCUUACAUUUUGUUGGAAAAUGGGUGUGUGGGACUAUAGAAGAAGCUGACGGUCUGGAGGAGCUAGAGUACAGAGAAAGUGAAUUAUCAUGGUGAAGGCCUUCAGAAGCAACAUAGAUAUUACCCAAAAUGCAAAUCAAAACCACUCUGUUAUUAGUUCACAUCUAUCAGAUUGCUUAAAAUGUAAAAGGGAAAAGUGACAAAUGUGGGAGGGGAUGUGUAGACUGGAGACACUCUUGGUGGAACUGGGAACCAUUUUGGAGAGCAAUCUGGAAUUAUGCUCAAAGAGUUGUGAAAUUCUAUAUACCUUUUGACCCAGCAAUAGCACUAUUAAGUUUGUUUCCUAAAAUGAUCAGGAAAAAGAAAAGAACUUAAAUAUUCCAAAUUAUUUAAUAGCUCUCUUUAUGGUGGCCAAGAACUGGAAAUUGAAGAGAUGCUCAUCAGUUGAGAAAUGGCUGAACAAGUUGUGGCAUAGGAUUGUGAUGAAGUACUACUGAGCUGAAAGAAGCGACAAACAGGUUAAUGUUGGAAAAACAUGGAAGACCUACAUUAAAUUAUGAAGAACGAAAUGAGCAGAACCAAGAAAACAUACUAUAUGGCAACAGAAAAAGUGUUUGAAGAAGAACUUGUGUAUGUCUAUCUCCCAAGAAAGAA